GCUGGGCACAGUGGUGCGUACCUGUAGUCCUAGGUACCCGGGAAGCCUGAGUCAGGAGGAUAAUUUGAGUCCAGGCUGGGCAACAUAGUGAGACUCCAUCUCAA
rnacentral:sRNA from 1 species